GAAAGAGUGCGUAAUAGCUCACUGGUCGAGUGACCCCGCGCCGAAAAUGUACCGGGGCUAAACAUAUUACCGAAACUGUGGAUGAACCUCUUUAGAGGUUCGUGGUAGGAGAGCGUUCUAAGGGCGGGGAAGUCAGACCGGAAGGACUGGUGGAGCGCUUAGAAGUGAGAAUGCCGGUAUGAGUAGCGAAAGAAGGGUGAGAAUCCCUUCCACCGAAUAUCUAAGGUUUCCUGAGGAAGGCUCGUCCGCUCAGGG
rnacentral:rRNA from 1 species